UUGGAGGUGAUGCGGCCGGGCACAUUUUCUACUUGCAGCUUGGAUGUAGAUGCACAUUUGAGAGGUGAUGGCUUCAAAGAGCUCUAAGCCGGCCGCCGCCGAGCAGACCGAGC